GACAGAGGGUGCAAACGUUGUUCGGAAUUACUGGGCGUAAAGCGCGUGUAGGCUGCUCCGCAAGUCGGAUGUGAAAGCCCUGGGCUCAACCUAGGAAGUGCAUUCGAUACUGCGGAGCUGGAGUCCUGGAGAGGAAGGCGGAAUUCUCGGUGUAGAGGUGAAAUGCGUAGAGAUCGGAAGGAACAUCAGUGGCGAAGGCGACUGUCUGGACAAAUACUGACGCUGAGGCGCGAAAGCGUGGGGAGCAAACAGG
rnacentral:rRNA from 1 species